rnacentral:rRNA from 1 species
UACGUAGGGGGCAAGCGUUGUCCGGAAUUAUUGGGCGUAAAGGAGCGUGUAGGCGGUCCGGUAAGUCCGCUGUGAAAGUCCAGGGCUCAACCCUGGAAUGCCGGUGGAUACUGCCGGGCUAGAGUCCGGAAGAGGCGAGUGGAAUUCCUGGUGUAGCGGUGAAAUGCGCAGAUAUCAGGAGGAACACCGAUGGCGAAGGCAGCGUCGCUGG